ACAUUCGCUGCGGGCAGUGAUAUCCACUAAUCCUGGAUGAGGCAGCGGAGGGCCCCCAAACCCCUAUCCAGGACUUAGUAAAGCUGGCGUUCAAAGUUUUUAAUUCCUGAGAGGAGGCGGCUGAGGUACAACGACAGGCAAGCCUGAAACAAAAAGUUCAGCUCCAAACCCAAGCCCUGGCAGCUGCCCUGCAACCGGCAUUCCCUAAGAGCCGCGGCAGGAGAGGUAGAGGUACAAUCUCCCGGGCCCCGUCUGGCGUCUGCUUCAAGUGAGGCAACUCAGGACACUGGGCCAGCCGGUGCCCUAGCCAACAGCAACCGUCCUGCCCGCCUUGCAACUGUUUCAAGUGUGGCAAUCCAGGUCAUUGGGCAAAACAGUGCCCAAACCCCAAGCCGCCAACACACCCGUGCCCUAACUGCCAACAAAUGGAGCACUGGAGGUCAGACUGCCCCAGCCUCGGAGCGGCCGCUGUGGCUCCACAUGGCGACCCCUCCCUGGAUGGCGAAGGUGCCCUCUAGCUCCUCCAACUGGAUGACGACUGAAGAGGCCCAGGCUCGGGAACCCCUCUCACCCUUGCCGAGCCCAGGGUAAUGCUUCAGGUAGCGGAUCAACUGAGAUGCAAAACCCAUGUUCACAUCAUGAGUGAGUCUUCUAACUCGGACAAUGCAAUCAACAAAUUCUAAGACCAAAUUCCGGUGGCACUGGCUCCAAAGGCCCCAGGGAAAAUAAACUAAUCAAGACUACUUUAAUUUUUUAAAUAUGAAACCUGCGGAAAAUCAUGAAAAAUAGUAACACAAUUCCACCAUUUUCUACGAAAAAAUACUGAAAGGGUUAUUAACUUGAAUGUCCAAUAGACAGCUGAAUUAGAUAUGAAGUUGCAUAAAGAGAGUAGCCAAAUCAAAAUAUAUAAGUUUUAAAAGGCAAUAUCCAGGACUUCAAACAUGGAAAGAGUUACACGAGAGAAAAGAGGAUUUUGAGAGAUUGCUGCUUCAUUUGCAUGCUCAGCAAAACCUCACGGAGCACUGACGUUUUGAGUCAUCCCUCUAAUCAUCUAGCAUCCAACGCUCCUGAGUGUGGAAGGAGGUGAACAGGGAAAAGCAGAGAGGACAAAAGUCACAUCCCCUCCCCACAGACCCAUACUGGGGAAGGGUGGAAGAUUUAGCUGCGAGUCAAGUUCAGAAUUUUGAUUAACAUCUUGGCAUGCACAUUCGAAUUUCAGAAUCAAGACUGUUGGCCAUAAAAAAUGACUAUAGCCUUGUGUAUUACCUGAACUGAGCAGUAAAAAAAAAGUCAUGGUCCUUCUGGGGCUUUUAUUCUGAGACAGGAACCCUGAACAGGCAGGAGAAAGGGAAUGUUGACAGAGAAACAAAGACAGUUGGCGACACACGCUGACCGCCAUGCGGACGUCCAUCAAACCCAGCACUGGCCCUGGGUACGUGCGCCUUUGCUAUUACCCCAAUACAUUUUCUUCUGCAGAGCAAGCAACAGAACACAUGCAGACCUUAAUAAAUACCACUGGGUAAUGUGACAAUGGCCAAACUCUCCUCACGGGGGAGAGAGUGUCCCCCAGUUUUGCUCCCUUUUAAUUUCCAGGGUUCAUAAGUAGCUCUAAAGCUUUGCUCUACAAGGUUGAUACAUACGAUAUUAAUGUUUCCCCUAAGCAGUAUAACAUAAAUAUAUUUGCUAUCUUGACA
ensembl:lncRNA LINC01287 long intergenic non-protein coding RNA 1287